UACGAAGGGGGCUAGCGUUGCUCGGAAUCACUGGGCGUAAAGGGUGCGUAGGCGGGUCUUUUAAGUCAGGGGUGAAAUCCUGGAGCUCAACUCCAGAACUGCCUUUGAUACUGGAGAGCUUGAGUCCGGAAGAGGUGAGUGGAACUCCGAGUGUAGAGGUGAAAUUCGUAGAUAUUCGGAAGAACACCAGUGGCGAAGGCGGCUCACUGGUCCGGUACUGACGCUGAGGCGCGAAAGCGUGGGGAGCAAACAGG
rnacentral:rRNA from 1 species